GAUGAACGCUGGCGGCGUGCCUAAUACAUGCAAGUCGAGCGAACAGGCGAGGAGCUUGCUCCUCUGACGUUAGCGGCGGACGGGUGAGUAACACGUGGAUAACCUACCUAUAAGACGGGGAUAACUUCGGGAAACCGGAGCUAAUACCGGAUAAUAUAUUGAACCGCAUGGUUCAAUAGUGAAAGACGGUUUUGCUGUCACUUAUAGAUGGAUCCGCGCCGCAUUAGCUAGUUGGUAAGGUAACGGCUUACCAAGGCAACGAUGCGUAGCCGACCUGAGAGGGUGGUCGGCCACACUGGAACUGAGACACGGUCCAGACUCCUACGGGAGGCAGCAGUAGGGAAUCUUCCGCAAUGGGCGAAAGCCUGACGGAGCAACGCCGCGUGAGUGAUGAAGGUCUUCGGAUCGUAAAACUCUGUUAUUAGGGAAGAACAAAUGUGUAAGUAACUAUGUACGUCUUGACGGUACCUAAUCAGAAAGCCACGGCUAACUACGUG
rnacentral:rRNA from 1 species